UCGGGAAUUUUGGGCAAUGGGCGAAAGCCUGACCCAGCAACGCCGCGUGAAGGAUGAAGUAUUUCGGUAUGUAAACUUCGUAAGAAUAGGAAGAAUAAAAUGACGGUACUAUUUGUAAGGUCCGGCUAACUACGUGCCAGCAGCCGCGGUAAUACGUAGGGACCAAGCGUUGUUCGGAUUUACUGGGCGUAAAGGGCGCGUAGGCGGCGUGGUAAGUCAUCUGUGAAAUCUCCGAGCUUAACUCGGAACGGUCAGAUGAUACUGCUGUGCUAGAGUACAGAAAGGGCAAUCGGAAUUCUGGUGUAGCGGUGAAAUGCGUAGAUAUCAAGAGGAACACCUGAGGCGAAGGCGAGUUGCUAGGCUGACACUGACGCUGAGGUACGAAAGCUAGGGG
rnacentral:rRNA from 1 species